rnacentral:rRNA from 1 species
CGUGAGGGAAAGGCGAAAAGAACCCCGGCGAGGGGAGUGAAAAAGAACCUGAAACCGUGUACGUACAAGCAGUGGGAGCACAGGUUUACCUGUGUGACUGCGUACCUUUUGUAUAAUGGGUCAGCGACUUAUAUUCUGUAGCAAGGUUAACCGUAUAGGGGAGCCGUAGGGAAACCGAGUCUUAACCGGGCGUUAAGUUGCAGGGUAUAGACCCGAAACCCGGUGAUCUAGCCAUGGGCAGGUUGAAGGUUGGGUAACACUAACUGGAGGACCGAACCGACUAAUGUUGAAAAAUUAGCGGAUGACCUGUGGCUGGGGGUGAAAGGCCAAUCAAACCGGGAGAUAGCUGGUUCUCCCCGAAAGCUAUUUAGGUAGCGCCUCGUGAAUUCAUCUCCGGGGGUAGAGCACUGUUUCGGCUAGGGGGCCAUCCCGGCUUACCAACCCGAUGCAAACUGCGAAUACCGGAGAAUGUUAUCACGGGAGACACACGGCGGGUGCUAACGUCCGUCGUGAAGAGGGAAACAACCCAGACCGCCAGCUAAGGUCCCAAAGUCAUGGUUAAGUGGGAAACGAUGUGGGAAGGCCCAGACAGCCAGGAUGUUGGCUUAGAAGCAGCCAUCAUUUAAAGAAAGCGUAAUAGCUCACUGGUCGAGUCGGCCUGCGCGGAAGAUGUAACGGGGCUAAACCAUGCACCGAAGCUGCGGCAGCGAACGUAUCACCCAAGACAACUUUACGGAGUUGACGAUUGACGGAGCGAAGCGACGUCAAAGCGUUCAUUAAAGUCGAGUUGGCUUAGGGAUACGUUCGUUGGGUAGGGGAGCGUUCUGUAAGCCUGUGAAGGUGUGUCGUGAGGCAUGCUGGAGGUAUCAGAAGUGCGAAUGCUGACAUAAGUAACGAUAAAGCGGGUGAAAAGCCCGCUCGCCGGAAGACCAAGGGUUCCUGUCCAACGUUAAUCGGGGCAGGGUGAGUCGACCCCUAAGGCGAGGCCGAAAGGCGUAGUCGAUGGGAAACGGGUUAAUAUUCCCGUACUUGGUGUUACUGCGAAGGGGGGACGGAGAAGGCUAUGUUGGCCGGGCGACGGUUGUCCCGGUUUAAGCGUGUAGGUGUGUGUUCCAGGUAAAUCCGGUUCACUUUAACACUGAGGCGUGACGACGAGGCACUACGGUGCUGAAGCAACAAAUGCCCUGCUUCCAGGAAAAGCCUCUAAGCAUCAGGUAACACGAAAUCGUACCCCAAACCGACACAGGUGGUCAGGUAGAGAAUACCAAGGCGCUUGAGAGAACUCGGGUGAAGGAACUAGGCAAAAUGGUGCCGUAACUUCGGGAGAAGGCACGCUGACACGUAGGUGAAGUGAUUUACUCAUGGAGCUGAAGUCAGUCGAAGAUACCAGCUGGCUGCAACUGUUUAUUAAAAACACAGCACUGUGCAAACACGAAAGUGGACGUAUACGGUGUGACGCCUGCCCGGUGCCGGAA